rnacentral:rRNA from 1 species
UACGUAGGGCGCAAGCGUUAUCCGGAAUUAUUGGGCGUAAAGAGCUCGUAGGCGGUUUGUCGCGUCUGCUGUGAAAACCUGAGGCUCAACCUCGGACUUGCAGUGGGUACGGGCAGACUAGAGUGUGGUAGGGGAGCUGGAAUUCCUGGUGUAGCGGUGGAAUGCGCAGAUAUCAGGAGGAACACCGAUGGCGAAGGCAG